GCGACGAUAGUUGAAUGGUACAAUACGACGUUGCCAAUGCGCAAGCAAGCAAACACGUUGUGGCCCGGGUUCGAUUCCCGGUCGUCGCA
rnacentral:tRNA from 1 species